CGUCUCCAGGCCAGCGGUUGAAACGAAUUGGUCACGCACUUAAAGGCUCAUGGAAGGAUGGAUAAUGAAAGAACCUCUCAAUUUCUACAGACUUCAAAAAUGGAAAUAUAACAUAGAUACGGAGAAGUCCACAAAUCACAAGGUUUUUCCCCAGGGCAAGCAUACCGUCAUGAUCUUGCAAAGGGAAGGAUCAUUUCAAAAUCCAUACGAGAGUGGAAGUGUUAGGAUUGAGUGGAAGUGUUAGGAUUGCUCCUUCUUUCCGUGUCUCUGGAAUAUCACCUUUAGACUCCAAACCACCCAGGCAUGAGAUUCCUGAAGGCACAGACAGAAUCUGUUCCCCUGCAAACCGCACGAGGGACCCCAGGCCAGAAUCAUCCAGCUGACCUCCCGAACUCCUGACCCACAGAAACUGUGUGAGAUAAAAUAAUAUUUACUGUU